CUCUGUCAAGAGAAAUUAGAGUAAAUUCUGAUGGCUAUCAUUAGGACUUGGUGCUCCCCCUCCUGUCCCAAUUGGCCCUAGCAAGAGGUGUGAACAUUUUUAAAGAAGCCCAGAAAGAAGGGAAUUUUCCAAGACCCCAAGCAAGACUGGAACUAAAUCAGAUUCAGACAAGAGACUGAUCCCAGAUACUCAGUUGGGAGGUUCUCUACAUGAAUGGUUCUCCAUUUAAUUUCCCCACCUCUAUCUACUAACUGCCCUCUGCAGGAGUGGGCAUUAGGGGCAAGUCUAUAAGGGGAGGCUGACACAGCAUAUUUAUCCUUAACUACCGCCAUUUAUGCCAACCACUGAAAGGUAACCAGCAAACUGAUGUCUACUGUACUGGGCCAUGGCCCUACUGUGACUGCAUCAGUGAGGGCAGUCACAAAACAGAAGAUAGUAACAUGAGGAAGGGGGGAAGGGCAUUUUGUGCUACAGGCUGAAUGACAGGCCCAGAGGGCAGCAGCAGUCUCUGGACUUUUCUUAUAGGUCACAUGGAACAUUUGAAAUCUAAGCGGUGGAGUGACAAUGACCCAGUAGGGAAUACUUUAAAGGAUUAACUGGGUGGGAAUAGAGCAAAAAAAGGGUAACCACACCCUACAAAAGUGAGCAGUAUCCAGAAGGGUUAGAGCAAAGGCUUAAUGCCACAAAGCAAGUAUUAUCUCCCCUUGGACUGAGGUUUCCUCUGGACUCAUUCCUCCUGCUAUACCUUACCCAGUACCUAGUAAAUAUAGUUUUUGCUAGACAGUGAUGAGUAGCAGAUCUCAUUCCUGGCUAUGUAGCCUGAUGGACAACAAAAACGUGCGAGGGGAGCUGGGGAAGUAGGAUAUUGUAGAAACACAAAGGAUGAGUACUUGGUACCCAGUCCAGCUUCUAACAGUAAAGACUUUCCAAUUAAGUCCUAAAGAACACAAAGGAGACUUAAACAGAGGGAGAGGAGUGACUGGCAGGGAGAACUCCAUAUAUAUAAAGGCCCGAAGGAAGAAGAGUGGCAGGUUCCAAGAACUGAAAAACACUCGGUGGGACUGGUGUGUAAAGUAUGAGGGGAGAGGAUGUUCAAGAUGCCACUACGAAGCUGCUUUGACAGGACUGGGGGGACUCAACCUUAGCCCUGGCUGGGCCCUAAAUACACUCCACUGCUCCCAUCUGCCUGUGGAUUGCCUACCAUGGCUAAAAUGUACCCCUUCUUUGGGCCCUCACUGCCUCUCAGGAACCUCUGCUUACAACUCUAAAUCAAGCCUAUAGACCUCAUGUUCUUCCCCAGCAAUGGAAGUCUGCCCCUAUUUCAGGUGUGUGCUUUCCGCAGGGCCUCAUGUGCAGCUGCUUGAUCAUACUCCCUAUUCCCCUCCACAGGGCUGGGCACACGGCUGGUGCCGCUGUGAGACCCAUCCCUGCCCCUGCAGGACACUCACCAUUAU